UGUGCCUGUGAGGUGUGUAGAAGAGACCCUGCUUGUUCAGUGUGGGCAAAGCCUCAGUGGGAAGACCAGAGGUGCACAGUCCAAAGAGAGGGCUGAGAUGGCCGUCCUGGCACUAGAAAACCAGCAAAACUGUUUUCAUCUUUCCUUUCUCUUCACAUCUUGCAAAACUGUUUCUUUGCCCUACAAGCCCCUGGAUGGCAGAAUGCUGUUGCCAAGCAGUGCUGGUGAUGAGAUAAAGAUGUUUUGACAAGAUUCAGUGCCAGGUGCGUGGAAACUGCUGUUAAACCAAAUGUUUGUUCCCUUCACUCUUGCUUAUUUCUCUCAUCGUUUCAUUUGUCCAUUUACUCCUCAUUUUGGCAGCCUUUGGCAAUGCAGCUCUCGGUCUGACCUCCCCAGACCAGCUAAUGACCCUGGAGCAGAACCUCUGGGCCAGUGUCCUUGUGAAAAUGUCCAUAUAGUCCUUUCACACCUGUGUCUUUUCCUCUUCUUCCCAGCAGAGUCCACUCCAUGCUUCAGAGGAAGCUGUAAAGUUGGGCUCAGAGAGAUGUUUCUCACUCCUGUCCUCCACAGAUGACAUGUGCUCACUAGCCCACGUGGCUACCAGCCAUUACCUGGGUUAAGUGUUUCAGGCCAAGUGCAUGUAGCUGGGGGGAUCCAUAGGGAAUGAAGGGCAGGUCUGGGCAGGGAGGACAGGCAGGCAGAGCUGGCUUUGCUAUUGCUGCUGCUGGGAUGGAAGUGCCAGGGUUUGCAGGGCUGAGAUGCUGAGUUGGCUGGUAGGAAACUGGCUCGAGUUUUGGACUGUCUCAGUUUACCUCACUCAGUCAGCCUUUCUGAGAGAGCAGAUUGACUGGCUUGGGUGCAGUCCUGCUCAAGUGUCCUAACCUGCUCCUGAGAGUGAGCUGGGAUGGUCUUGCAACCCUGCCUUGUGUUGUGAGAGAUUUGCUCAGCUCUGCAUUGCUUCAGGUCUCUCUCCCAAGCUUAGAAGAUGAAGCUAAAGGUAAGAGCAGUAACUCCAUGUCUGAUUCCAGGUCUCCCAUUUGAAAACCUCGAGCGAGCUCUUCUUCCACCUCCACCCCAGCUGCAUUUCUACUGAAUCCAUGAUUACUGUGAUAAAAUUGCAACUAAAUCCUGUCAGCUCUGAAGCAUGAACUAGGAGGGUUGGUCUUUACAUCAGACAUGUAAUUACCUGUCUACCAAACUGAAAAUCACUGCUGUGCUUAAUCCAAUAGGAACCUGCUCCAGAGAUCAGUCUGCCUGAAUAGCUACCUUGUUGCUCCUGACCCUCAAGUCUGUGGAAGGACAUAGGACUUCAUGUUUGAAAACCCUGGAAGAAAAACUCUCAAACCUGCAGGAUCUUAGAGGCAGAGAAAUCUGUUUUCCUGCAUAAGAAGAGUGCAUUUUUGUGGUGACUGAAUACUGCAUUGCAAUCAGAAUGGCCGAGCUAUUUGU